GGUUGGGGAUGGACUCGCGGCCUAUCAGCUUGUUGGUGAGGUAAUGGCUCACCAAGGCGACGACGGGUAGCCGGCCUGAGAGGGUGACCGGCCACACUGGGACUGAGACACGGCCCAGACUCCUACGGGAGGCAGCAGUGGGGAAUAUUGCACAAUGGGCGAAAGCCUGAUGCAGCAACGCCGCGUGAGGGACGACGGCCUUCGGGUUGUAAACCUCUUUUAGUAGGGAAGAAGGGAGCUUGCUCUUGACGGUACCUGCAGAAAAAGCACCGGCUAACUACGUGCCAGCAGCCGCGGUAAUACGUAGGGUGCAAGCGUUGUCCGGAAUUAUUGGGCGUAAAGAGCUCGUAGGCGGUUUGUCGCGUCUGCUGUGAAAUCCCGAGGCUCAACCUCGGGCUUGCAGUGGGUACGGGCAGACUAGAGUGCGGUAGGGGAGAUUGGAAUUCCUGGUGUAGCGGUGGAAUGCGCAGAUAUCAGGAGGAACACCGAUGGCGAAGGCAGAUCUCUGGGCCGUUACUGACGCUGAGGAGCGAAAGCAUGGGGAGCGAACAGGAUUAGAUACCCUGGUAGUCCAUGCCGUAAACGUUGGGCGCUAGAUGUAGGGACCUUUCCACGGUUUCUGUGUCGUAGC
rnacentral:rRNA from 1 species